rnacentral:rRNA from 1 species
UUCGGAAUCUUGAGAGCGGCGCACGGGUGCGGAACACGUGUGCAACCUGCCUUUAUCUGGGGGAUAGCCUUUCGAAAGGAAGAUUAAUACCCCAUAAUAUAUUGAGUGGCAUCACUUGAUAUUGAAAACUCCGGUGGAUAGAGAUGGGCACGCGCAAGAUUAGAUAGUUGGUGAGGUAACGGCUCACCAAGUCAAUGAUCUUUAGGGGGCCUGAGAGGGUGAUCCCCCACACUGGUACUGAGACACGGACCAGACUCCUACGGGAGGCAGCAGUGAGGAAUAUUGGACAAUGGGUGAGAGCCUGAUCCAGCCAUCCCGCGUGAAGGACGACUGCCCUAUGGGUUGUAAACUUCUUUUAUACUGGGAUAAACCUACCCUUCGUGAGGGUAGCUGAAGGUACAGUAUGAAUAAGCACCGGCUAACUCCGUGCCAGCAGCCGCGGUAAUACGGAGGGUGCAAGCGUUAUCCGGAUUUAUUGGGUUUAAAGGGUCCGUAGGCGGACUCGUAAGUCAGUGGUGAAAUCUCAUAGCUUAACUAUGAAACUGCCAUUGAUACUGCGGGUCUUGAGUAAAGUAGAAGUGGCUGGAAUAAGUAGUGUAGCGGUGAAAUGCAUAGAUAUUACUUAGAACACCAAUUGCGAAGGCAGGUCACUAUGUUUUAACUGACGCUGAUGGACGAAAGCGUGGGGAGCGAACAGGAUUAGAUACCCUGGUAGUCCACGCCGUAAACGAUGCUAACUCGUUUUUGGGUUUUCGGAUUCAGAGACUAAGCGAAAGUGAUAAGUUAGCCACCUGGGGAGUACGUUCGCAAGAAUGAAACUCAAAGGAAUUGACGGGGGCCCGCACAAGCGGUGGAUUAUGUGGUUUAAUUCGAUGAUACGCGAGGAACCUUACCAAGGCUUAAAUGGGAAUUGACAGGUUUAGAAAUAGAUCCUUCUUCGGACAAUUUUCAAGGUGCUGCAUGGUUGUCGUCAGCUCGUGCCGUGAGGUGUUAGGUUAAGUCCUGCAACGAGCGCAACCCCUGUCACUAGUUGCCAUCAUUCAGUUGGGGACUCUAGUGAGACUGCCUACGCAAGUAGAGAGGAAGGUGGGGAUGACGUCAAAUCAUCACGGCCCUUACGCCUUGGGCCACACACGUAAUACAAUGGCCGGUACAGAGGGCAGCUACUAUGCGAAUAGAUGCGAAUCUCGAAAGCCGGUCUCAGUUCGGAUUGGAGUCUGCAA